rnacentral:tRNA from 1 species
GGGGUUGUGGCUCAGUGGUAGAGCACUUGCCUAGUGCGUGUGAGGCACUGAGUUUGAUCCCCAGCAACCACA